AGACAUGCUGUGCAACUUAACAUCACUGCCACCCAGAAGCUCUUACGGCUAGUCAGAUGCCAAAGCUGGAAGCCUUUAUACAUAUCUCUACUGCCUUUUCAAAUGGUAACCUGAAGCACAUCGAUGAAGUUGUUUAUCCGUGCCCUGUGGAGCCAAAAACUCUGACUACUUUUUACGUGGUUAGACGACGCUGUUAUUGACGAGAUCACACCCAAGCUGAUCAGAGAUCCGCCCAAUUCUUGCACCUACAUCAAGGCCUUGGGAGAAAUGGUGGUGCAGCAGGAGAGCAGAAACCUAACCAUCGCCAUCAUAAGGCCCUCCAUUGUGGGAGCAACGUGGCAUGAGCCUUUCCCAGGUUGGGUUGAAAAUCUAAAUGGACCUAGCAGACUUAUUA
rnacentral:lncRNA from 1 species